UACAAUGCGGUGGAUGUCACGGAGUAGAU
rnacentral:sRNA from 1 species